rnacentral:rRNA from 1 species
GACGAACGCUGGCGGCGUGCCUAACACAUGCAAGUCGAGCGAGAAGCUAAUGAACGCGACUUCGGUCAAGUGAAUUAGUGGAAAGCGGCGGACGGGUGAGUAACGCGUGAGUAACCUGCCUUAUGGAGGGGGACAACAGUUAGAAAUGACUGCUAAUACCGCAUAACAUAUAUUUAACGCAUGUUAGAUAUAUCAAAGAUUUAUCGCCAUAAGAUGGACUCGCGUCUGAUUAGAUAGUUGGUGAGGUAAUGGCUCACCAAGUCGACGAUCAGUAGCCGAACUGAGAGGUUGAUCGGCCACAUUGGGACUGAGACACGGCCCAGACUCCUACGGGAGGCAGCAGUGGGGGAUAUUGCACAAUGGGGGAAACCCUGAUGCAGCAACGCCGCGUGAAGGAAGAAGGCCUCGGUUGGUAAACGUUACGUUUUACCUAGGUACGAAGAACGUAGACGGUACCGU